rnacentral:misc_RNA from 1 species
UCCCUUCUCUCCUUCCUUUUCCUUUCCUCCUUCCUUUCCUCCUCUCCUCUUUUCCCUCCCCUUUCUCUCCUUUUUCUUCCUUUUCUCCUUCCUUUUUUCUUCUCCUUCCCUCUUCCACUUCAAUCUUUUUUUAACUCAAUUGGUUUCUACUUUGGUAUUGGAGGUCUUUGCAGCUUCACACCUGCUCCUCUUUGUUCAUUAGCUGGAUCUCAGUGUUAUGCUUGGUUCCACUCGGCGUGAUAAGUUAUCUAUCGCUGAGGACACUGUAAAAGGUGGCCAAGGUAAAUGCAGAUGAACCGCUUCUAAUAGUCCAUUGACUUGGACAAUACUUUUAUGAUCUGAUCUCAAAUCAGGUAGGACUACCCGCUGAACUUAAGC